UGGGGAAUAUUGCACAAUGGGCGCAAGCCUGAUGCAGCAACGCCGCGUGAGGGACGACGGCCUUCGGGUUGUAAACCUCUUUUGGCAGGGAAGAAGCGACAGUGACGGUACCUGCAGAAAAAGCACCGGCUAACUACGUGCCAGCAGCCGCGGUGAUACGUAGGGUGCAAGCGUUGUCCGGAAUUAUUGGGCGUAAAGAGCUCGUAGGCGGUUUGUCGCGUAUGCUGUGAAAACCCGAGGCUCAACCUCGGGCCUGCAGUGGGUACGGGCAAACUAGAGUGCGGUAGGGGAGAUUGGAAUUCCUGGUGUAGCGGUGGAAUGCGCAGAUAUCAGGAGGAACACCGAUGGCGAAGGCAGAUCUCUGGGCCGUAACUGACGCUGAGGAGCGAAAGCAUGGGGAGCGAACA
rnacentral:rRNA from 1 species